rnacentral:miRNA from 1 species
AGCCUUCCCGCUGCUCCCCGACCUGCUCUUUGGGGCUGGAGGUGGCUUUCCCCAAAGAGCAGGUCGGGAGCAGCGGGAAGGCU